rnacentral:rRNA from 1 species
AGUGAACGCUGGCGGCAGGCCUAACACAUGCAAGUCGAACGAGUGGCGGACGGGUGAGGAAUACAUCGGAAUCUACUUUUUCGUGGGGGAUAACGUAGGGAAACUUACGCUAAUACCGCAUACGAUUGAAUGAGCCGAUGUCGGAUUAGCUAGUUGGCGGGGUAAAGGCCCACCAAGGCGACGAUCCGUAGCUGGUCUGAGAGGAUGAUAAGCCACACUGGAACUGAGACACGGUCCAGACUCCUACGGGAGGCAGCAGUGGGGAAUAUUGGACAAUGGGCGCAAGCCUGAUCCAGCCAUACCGCGUGGGUGAAGAAGGCCUUCGGGUUGUAAAGCCCUUUUGUUGGGAAAGCGCCGCCGCGGUAAUAC